UACGUAGGUGGCAAGCGUUGUCCGGAUUUACUGGGCGUAAAGAGCGCGCAGGCGGUCAGAUAAGUCGAAUGUGAAAGCCCCCGGCUCAACUGGGGAGGGUCAUUCGAUACUGUUCGACUCGAAGGCAGGAGAGGGAAGUGGAAUUCCCGGUGUAGUGGUGAAAUGCGUAGAUAUCGGGAGGAACACCAGUGGCGAAGGCGACUUCCUGGCCUGUUCUUGACGCUGAGGCGCGAAAGCCAGGGGAGCAAACGGG
rnacentral:rRNA from 1 species